GGUGAUAUCGUCCAGAGGUUUAGGACAUUGCGUUGUGGGAAACAUCGUUCCAACUCCGCAAAGAUGGGGGUUCGAAUCCCUCUAUCAUCA